AAGAAAACGAUGACGCGAGUUAUCGUCUCUAACGUUCGAGGACUACAAAAAACACUUGGAUUGUAGGCAACAGUUUACUUCCUGGGAUUAGUGACGUAGAUAAGACCAACAUUAUCAUAGUUCAGCCCUCUCUGCUUUGUUUGGGUACGCCCUCAAAGACGGGGGUGAGGGAGCGCCGAGUCAGAAGAGAGCUAAAAUGGCGGAGGUUGGGAGUCCCUGCUUUGACUCUGUUUGCAAACUCUUGUUUCAUCGUUUAAGCGAUUAAAUCUCUCGAGUAGACGCUGUCUCUUUAGAUGCGAGGGAAAAAUAGCACUUUAUGGACUUCCACAGAGGACAUCAUGUUUAAUACGGUUCCGGAAAAAUCCAGUCAGAAGUUGUUCACGGAGUUUUCACAAUAACUGCUUCUCAUGAACCGAAGCUGGAUUUGCGCGACGUCUCCUCUUGAAAGUUGGAUUACUGUGCACUUCUGGAUCACAGGCUAUUCGCAGCUGGACACAUCCUUCUACACUGUAUGCAAACAUGCAACAUCAUUACACACAGUACAAGGAGUCAGACUGGCAUAUGAGGAGCAAAGGAACCCAGGCAGUAGCAUCGUUUCACAAUGUUUCCAUCACCAUCAUCAGUGGAUGCCUUUGCCGUCCGUAGCCUGAGAUUUCAGAUUUGCAGCAAAAAAAAAUUGAUUUUCUCAUUUAUUGGAAUGCUGUGCAGGUAUUUGUACCUUGCAGCCAUCCAUUACAAUGUCACCAAGCCGUAACAAAAGCAGGAGAGGGAAAGUACAAGGCUAUGUUCCCAAAACACACAAAUGACAUACCUUAUGUGGAGGAUGUGAUCAGGCUUGUGUUUGAUGAGGUAUUUGAAGAUAAGCUGAAGGAAACCCCGAUUCCAAUGGACCUGGCAUCACAGUUUUAGAGACCUUCAAAGGAGGACGUGAUUGCAUGCCAUCUUCAGUGCAGGGGUCGUCGAAAGCCAAAAUUGUGACCGAUCUGAUCAGGAAGCUCCAAGCGUAUCUGGAGAACAACACACGACAGGAUGAUAACCUUAUAGUGUCGUCUUAGAUAGCACCAGUUGACAAAGCUUUGAUAUGCCAUUUAUCUGAAUAGAUAGCUGUAAGAAAUGAAUUGAACAAUUUUUGA